AUUGAACGCUGGCGGCAGGCCCAACACAUGCAAGUCGAGCGGAUGAAGGGAGCUUGCUCCUGGAUUCAGCGGCGGACGGGUGAGUAAUGCCUAGGAAUCUGCCUGGUAGUGGGGGAUAACGUCCGGAAACGGGCGCUAAUACCGCAUACGUCCUGAGGGAGAAAGUGGGGGAUCUUCGGACCUCACGCCAUCAGAUGAGCCUAGGUCGGAUUAGCUAGUUGGUGGGGUAAAGGCCUACCAAGGCGACGAUCCGUAACUGGUCUGAGAGGAUGAUCAGUCACACUGGAACUGAGACACGGUCCAGACUCCUACGGGAGGCAGCAGUGGGGAAUAUUGGACAAUGGGCGAAAGCCUGAUCCAGCCAUGCCGCGUGUGUGAAGAAGGUCUUCGGAUUGUAAAGCACUUUAAGUUGGGAGGAAGGGCAGUAAGUUAAUACCUUGCUGUUUUGACGUUACCAACAGAAUAAGCACCGGCUAACUUCGUG
rnacentral:rRNA from 1 species